CUUGCGGCUACAUCAGUUUGAAACACCGGUUCCCGUACGAUCACUGAAGUUAAGCAACGUUGAGACUUGUCAAUAGCUAGAUGGGUAACUGCUUGGGAAUACCAGGU